rnacentral:rRNA from 1 species
AGAGUUUGAUCAUGGCUCAGGAUGAACGCUGGCGGCGUGCCUAACACAUGCAAGUCGAGCGAGAUGUAUAUGGACGAAACUUCGGUCUAGGAAAUAUAUUGACAGCGGCGGACGGGUGAGUAACGCGUAGGCAACCUGCCCUUAACACAGGGAUAGCCUCGGGAAACCGGGAUUAAAACCUGAUAAUGCCAAAUAGUCACAUGGCUGUUUGGCCAAAGAUUCAUCGGUUAAGGAUGGGCCUGCGUCUGAUUAGUUUGUUGGUGGGGUAACGGCCUACCAAGACUACGAUCAGUAGCCGACCUGAGAGGGUGAUCGGCCACAUUGGAACUGAGACACGGUCCAAACUCCUACGGGAGGCAGCAGUGGGGAAUAUUGCACAAUGGGCGAAAGCCUGAUGCAGCAACGCCGCGUGAGCGAUGAAGGCCUUUGGGUCGUAAAGCUCUGUCCUUGGGGAAGAAAAAAAUGACGGUACCCAAGGAGGAAGCCCCGGCUAACUACGUGCCAGCAGCCGCGGUAAUACGUAGGGGGCAAGCGUUAUCCGGAAUUAUUGGGCGUAAAGAGUACGUAGGUGGUCUUUUAAGCGCAGGGUUUAAGGCAAUGGCUUAACCAUUGUUCGCCCUGUGAACUGGAAGACUUGAGUGUAGGAGAGGAAAGUGGAAUUCCUAGUGUAGCGGUGAAAUGCGUAAAUAUUAGGAGGAACAUCAGUGGCCGAAGGCGACUUUCUGGACUAUUACUGACACUGAGGUACGAAAGCGUGGGGAAGCAAACAGGAUUAAAUACCCUGGUA